rnacentral:rRNA from 1 species
ACUCCUACGGGAGGCAGCAGUGGGGAAUAUUGCACAAUGGGGGAAACCCUGAUGCAGCCAUGCCGCGUGUGUGAAGAAGGCCUUCGGGUUGUAAAGCACUUUCAGUAGGGAGGAAGGUAGUGUAGUUAACACCUGCAUUAUUUGACGUUACCUACAGAAGAAGCACCGGCUAACUCCGUGCCAGCAGCCGCGGUAAUACGGAGGGUGCGAGCGUUAAUCGGAAUUACUGGGCGUAAAGCGCAUGCAGGCGGCCUGUUAAGUCAGAUGUGAAAGCCCGGGGCUUAACCUCGGAAUUGCAUUUGAAACUGGCAGGCUAGAGUCUUGUAGAGGGGGGUAGAAUUUCAGGUGUAGCGGUGAAAUGCGUAGAGAUCUGAAGGAAUACCAGUGGCGAAGGCGGCCCCCUGGACAAAAGACUGACGCUCAGAUGCGAAAAGCGUGGGGGAGCAAAACAGGAUUAGAUACCCUGGUAGCACAGAGC